CAGGAAUCAAACCCGCAACCUUGCCGUAGGGCGGGGGGCACUCCAACCAGAUGCGCUACCGGCCAGGUCUUCUGGGUAUUUUUUGACACGAAGAGAAGCACAGAGUGGUAGUCUCUCAUUUCCCUGCAUCCAGAUUUUUAAUCGCUUACAUCUGAUCACAUUUGUCUCCGAAGUUUUUUCUAAGGAAAAACAGGGCCUCGAGGUCCCCUAAAUCCCAUGUCCUCCCUGUUAGGCUGGAGGGAAGUCCAGGAGCCAAUGCAUGCACCGGGCCGAUGGCGACAUAGAUACUGGUUCCUUCCUGGGACCCGUGACGUACCUGCCCGCGACGGGAGCUCCCACAGCUCAUGCUCCCCGCCCUCACUGAACAGCUGUAUAAAAAAACACCUCCACUCCCUCUUGGCCCCACCCUUGGACCCGUGAACCUCGCCCGGGAGUGCAGAUUAAAGCUCCUCCUUUUUGAUUUGCCUGGGUCUCUGACUUUGUCUCCUGCGCCGCGAACCUUACACUCCCCCCGCCUCAGAAGAAGCCAUCAUGUGUGAGAAAUGACGGCCCAGUUUCCCUAAUGGUACGAAGCGGCGGUGUCAUGUCCAGGCCAGGACACCGGGGGCAGCGACACGACCCGCGGAGCUUCUCUCAGGUUACCCGUCCACGUCCAUUUGCAGGUAUGUCUUCAAAUGUGCGCGAACAGUAGACUGUGCACAGCCUCCUGCCAUGUCCUUCCUCCCGCAGACACAUUGCCGAGCCCGCCCGUCGCGGUGCAGGCCAUGCCAGCUCACGCGUGUGGGUAGACGUGCCGCCAUCUGUCUUUCAUCAUCCAGGACGCCAAGGGGGCUGGGUGGGGGCUGGCGGGACGGGCGGCACUACGGUGAGGAGCCUUGCGGUGUCUCCAGGAGCCAUCGCUUGGAGCAUGAGCAGAAGUGGGAUUCCUGGUCACCGGACGCCUGCAUCCGACCCACCGGACGUUAGCAGGCUGCCUUCAGGCUCGCCCACUUCCCACUUGCUCCCGCAGCGCAGGGCUGUGCGCCUCUGCUGGUCGGUGCCGCAGGGGCCUGUGUUGCUGUUCGGACUUGCGUUUCCCUGGAGUAAGAAGGUUUCCGGCUUCAGCAGAAAAGGGAAGUGUUCACCUGAGUCUCCGGGGG